UACAGAGGGUGCGAGCGUUAAUCGGAAUUACUGGGCGUAAAGCGCACGUAGGCGGAUUUGCCAGUCAGGGGUGAAAUCCCGGGGCUCAACCUCGGAACUGCCUCUGAUACAGCAAGUCUUGAGUCCGGAAGAGGUGGGUGGAAUUCCUAGUGUAGAGGUGGAAUUCGUAGAUAUUAGGAAGAACACCAGUGGCGAAGGCGGCUCACUGGUCCGGUACUGACGCUGAGGUGCGAAAGCGUGGGGAGCAAACAGG
rnacentral:rRNA from 1 species